UUAAAGAAUUUGAAGACUUUAGCUUGUAUACUUAAAGAAUUUGAAGACUUUAGCUUGCAUAGUUAAAAAUUUUGAAGACUUCAACU
rnacentral:pre_miRNA from 1 species